UACGUAGGGCGCGAGCGUUGUCCGGAAUUAUUGGGCGUAAAGAGCUCGUAGGCGGCCUGUCGCGUCGGUUGUGAAAGCCCGGGGCUCAACCCCGGGUCUGCAGUCGAUACGGGCAGGCUAGAGUUCGGUAGGGGAGAUCGGAAUUCCUGGUGUAGCGGUGAAAUGCGCAGAUAUCAGGAGGAACACCGGUGGCGGAGGCGGUUCUCUGGGCAUUACCUGACGCUGAGGAGCGAAAGCGUGGGGAGCAAACAGG
rnacentral:rRNA from 1 species